GAUGAACGCUGGCGGCGUGCUUAACACAUGCAAGUCGAACGAAGCGCUUAAACGGAUUUCUUCGGAUUGAAGUUUUUGCGACUGAGUGGCGGACGGGUGAGUAACGCGUGGGUAACCUGCCUCAUACAGGGGGAUAACAGUUGGAAACGACUGCUAAUACCGCAUAAGCCCACAGGUCGGCAUCGACCAGAGGGAAAAGGAGCAAUCCGCUUUGAGAUGGCCUCGCGUCCGAUUAGCUAGUUGGUGAGGUAACGGCCCACCAAGGCGACGAUCGGUAGCCGGACUGAGAGGUUGAACGGCCACAUUGGGACUGAGACACGGCCCAG
rnacentral:rRNA from 1 species